rnacentral:lncRNA from 10 species
UUAUGUAUCUUAUCUCUUUAUGUGAUCCUUAGUUCUUGGCACAGGGUUGGUUAGCACCUUGUGACCAAUAAGUUAUCAUUUCAUUCCCAUUUACUUGGUGAAUGGAGGCUAGUUUGUUUCAACUCUUUCCUUUGUCCUUGAACAGUCUGAAGAUGAUGAGAAACUGAAAAAGAGGAAGGAGCGAUUUGGGAUUGUCACAAGUUCAGCUGGAACUGGAACCACAGAGGAUACAGAGGCAAAGAAGAGGAAAAGAGCAGAGCGCUUUGGGAUUGCCUGAUGAAAAGUUCCUGAUACUUUCUGUUCUCCAGUGUUUUCCAUUUCUCUCCUUCUUCUUGGUCACAUAUAUGCCUAAAUGCACAGUCAUGUGCCUACGUCCUGCCUCGCAAUGAGGGAGCAUGUACCCCAGGUACAUCCAUGAACUGCGGCAGCAGUUUGACUUAUUGCUGUUUCAGCUUUAAGGUUGUUGUGUUUUUGUUUUUGAUUAUGUUGCUUGUUAAUAAAAAAAAAUAGAAAAGAGA